UACGUAGGGAGCAAGCGUUAUCCGGAAUUAUUGGGUGUAAAGGGUGCGUAGACGGGAUAUCAAGUUAGUUGUGAAAGCCCUCGGCUUAACUGAGGAAUUGCAACUAAAACUAAUAUUCUUGAGUGCAGGAGAGGGAAGCGGAAUUCCUAGUGUAGCGGUGAAAUGCGUAGAUAUUAGGAGGAACACCAGUGGCGAAGGCGGCUUUCUGGACUGUAACUGACGUUGAGGCACGAAAGUGUGGGGAGCAAAC
rnacentral:rRNA from 1 species